UGAAAGUAUUUUAAAUUUUUCCUGCGUAAAUGGUUAAAUUUGAAACCUUGAAACCUACCUUCCAAAGCUACCAUGGUCCAAACACCAUAAUUGGCUACCGUAUUUUUUUUUUACUUUGAUAAAUUAACCUUUCACAGCGAUCACUCCUGAUAUUAAGUGAUGAUGAAGAAGAAGCGGGCUUAAUUCGAAAAGUUCAUUCUUUUUUAAAAAGUGAGUCACAAAACUGCCUGUUUAGCCUUCGUAGAGUUACUGAUACUAUAUCAUGAAAUAACUUAUACUAAGGGCUAAUUAAUAUAAAAAUGUUAUGUUUAGUUUACCAAAAUAAAAUAUAAAAUUUUAAAGGGUUUACUGUCUUUUCCAGUCCUGCCAUCUGGUCCAUUUUUUUUUUUUUUUUUUUUUUUUUUUUUUUUUUUUUUUUUUUUUUUUUUUUUUUUUUUUUUUUUUUUUUAUUCUUUACAAGUUAGCCCUUGACUACAAUCUCACCUGAUGGUAAGUGAUGAUGCAGUCUAAGAUGGAAGCGGACUAACUUGUUAGGAGGAGGAUGACAAUCCACACCCCUUUCGGUUUCUACACGACAUCAUACCGGAACGCUAAAUCGCUUGGCGGUACGUCUUUGUGGGUAAUACCACAGAAUACAUAAUAUUAUGUAUUCUGUGUUAGUAAUACCAGGGUUAAUAAUACCACAGAAUACAUAAUAUUAUGGUAAUACUGAAAUGAAUGGCGGGUCAUUAGCACCAGAUUACUCCAACAUCGUUAUCACAUUAUGCUAAACGCCAAAACUGGAUUUGUAUUGUGGGCUUUUCCAAUCGCAAAUAAUGUUCGCUCUCUAUCCUUUCAUCUAUAACAUUUAAAAAAAAAUUAUUUAUCCGUCUGUGAUAUCGAUAAAUGAAAAAAAAUAUAUUUGGCAUAUCUUUACAAUACGACUAAUAUUCCCAAAAUCCUUUUUCUUGUAUUGACAUAUUUAUUAAAUGUUUUGGCUAGUAAUUUUUGUGACCGGUCGCCUGCCUGACGUCAACCCUCCUUGGGAAUCCUUGGAGUUGUGGAUUUUAUCGAAUCGCCACCCACCACAACAUUCCCAAAUUCCCUCCAACUAGUAGGACAAGACUGUACUAGGACCUCUAAUUAGGUCUCCGUCCGCUGGGGUACUAUCGUAAAGGGGUACGAGAUACCCACUCAUCACCGAGAUAUCGAACCACGAUCUCUCCGAUAAAUCCACCGCCACUGCGCCACGGAGGCCACCUUUAAAGACAUUUAGAAGGUUCUAUACAUUUUCCCACGAAAGUCCGUCUUCUCUCAUAUAACACGAGUAUUACUCGUUAUCAACCCAUAUACGGCUCACUGCUGAGCUCGAGUUUCCUCUCAGAUUGAGAGGGGUUAGGCCAAUAGUCCACCACGCUGGCCCAAUGCGGAUUGGCAGACAUCACACACGCAGAGAAUUAACAAAUUCUCUGGUAUGCAGGUUUUCCUCACGAUGUUUUCCUUCACCGUUUCAGACACGUGAUAUUUAAUUUUUUAAAAUGCACACAACUGAAAAGUUGGAGGUGCAUGCCCUGUACCGGAUUCGAACCCACACCCUCCGGAAUCGGAGGCAGAGGUCAUAUCCACUGGGCUAUCACGACUCUCACUAUAUGAGUAUUACUCAGUGGGACAUUAACACGUUAUUUACAUUACUUUAUCACAACAGUUAAUGUAAAACUAACUAACAAAUUACUAUAAAAAUAGCCCACGAUAGAGAGAAAUUACACCCGAUGGCAAUAAUGCCAUACAAAUUACCCAUUAUCAAAACAUUGCCCCACAAAAUUACUUCUAAGAUUAACUUACGACAUCCCAAUAUCAUCGCAAGAGUAAACAGUGUUACAUAAACAUCGCUUAACCGCUACUUCUAUACAAUAUUAUUACUGAGACGGGCAGCGUGACGUCAGGAAUGUGUACUCAGCAAUGAAAAUCUUCGUAUAGUUCCAACAAAGUGUAUUAUCACCAACAAAGAUCGCGCUCGACUGACUACCAGACGACAAAAUAAUUACCGACUAUCACUCAAACAGUUUUACAAUUCAAAAUGGUUUCUGUAUCUUACAACUACUUUUUAAUUAUACAGUUUUACGGCUUAGUCUAACAUUAUGAAAUUAAUAUCAUUAUAAUAUUUAAAUUAAUUAUAAAAUGUAAAUAGUUUACUUUAAUCUGAGUUUAAAUAAUAAAGCUAAAGAUAGAAUCUUUAGGUUUAGUCAAAUCAGUAUCUUAUAAACGAAAAACUGUAAUCAUGACAUUGAAGAAUUAUUAUCAGCAAAUAACAGACAAUGUUUAUAAUAACAUAUAGAUAGUUUAGUAUAUUUAUAGUUUGUUAGAUGGAACUCGUAGGCCCUCGUUACAAUAUAUAAACUUUAAAUAGUAGAUUAAGCUAUUAUAGCUCUUAUUUUUAAAGGCAUAACGUUGGAAAUAGUAUGAUUUCUUUAAUAAUUUUAGAAACGUCGUACAAUUUUGUCAAUGCUGACAGUUCUAUCGAUCUAUAAUUUAGAGUCAGGAUAUAAAAUUUUCCCUAAAACCCAAAGAUUCGGAGAAAAACGAGUUUCAAAAAUUUUUUGGAUUUUCUCAAAAACAGCAGGAGGGCCAAUCUACAGUUAACGUCUUUACAUGACCCCCUUACGUUAUAUGAAGUCAAACUUUUUCUGAUCCUGAGGGUAGCAUUUAUUUCAUUACAGAUUGAAUGAACUAUUAGUCGAAAAGCUCAGUCAUAUUAAAGUCAAAAUUAUUAAAUUUUGAUUUUCAUGAGGUUUUCAUAGUUAAAUUGAGUUUAAAUAUGUGUUACAUGGCCAAAAGUCAAAAACUAUAAAUCUAUCUCUAUAAACAGAUCUACAUCUAGCAUGCAAGGAUUAACACAUAGCAUGCAAGGAACGAGGCCUACAAAGUGCUGUCCUUUGAUCAUCAUCCUGAGAUAUCCCCGGAUGAGGUCUGCCGUCUGACACAAAAAGUUCUACUAAUAAAUGUGAUUAAGGGUUCUUUUUCCAUUGUCAUGUAGAUAUUUUGUAUGAAAAUGUAGACUUCAUACAAAAUGUCUACAUGGCAAUAUUAUCAAUGAAACGAAAUGCAGCCAGCAUUCUUGUCACCAUUCCACGUGGGCAUGAUUUGGUAGACCGAAGGCAUCAAGCGGGUUGCAGGGAGCCGCUGGAUGUUGGCAAGUCGAGACCGUUGUGCUUGGAAGACCAUACAAGAGGCCUAUGUCCAGCAGUGGACGUCCAUCGGCUGAUAAUGAUGAUGAUGAUUUAUAUAAUUAUUAGAAUAAGUUAGCUUAAGUUCCCUAUUCUCUUUUCUCAUUCAAAAAGAAAAAUAAAAAACAGGAAUCUUCUCGAACAAAGUCGAGCUGCUUGCGUGACGUAUGCUUAAUAAACUUAAAGUAUGUCUUCAAAUGGGUUGUAUGGAAAUUCUGUUUUGACAAUACCAUUAACAUAUUACGUGUGAGAGUGUGUCCGCCCUUCUUUCCCAUACAUAUGGGGAUAUAAUUAAUACACGGAAGCUGUCUCUAUUUUUACACUUGUUCUAGGGCUGUCAAACUUGUAUUUUUAAACGGUUAUCAAGCUAAACGUUAAUUUAAUUUGAUGUAAUUAUCACAUUUAUGGGAUGUGUUUUCCUAUUAACUUUUUGCCGCGGUUAUUAAGCUUUGCUUUUUAACUUUGAUCUUACGCGAUCAAAGCGAUGAGUGUCGUGGUUAUGCUAUAGAUUAUUUUUAAUGGUAAAAAAUAUAUUGGGAUUUUAUAAUACAAAUAAAUAAGCAAUGUCUCAAAGAAUUUCCUACAUUGUACAAUGUUUUAUCAGUUUGUGUGUCAGGUGUUUCUUUUUUAAAAAAUCUUUUGAUCAAUUCAUAGGCAAUGGUUUUCUAUUUAGCAUCAAAUUGGGCCAUUUGCUUAAUAAUACCUAUAAAAAAUGUCAUUCCGUAUGUAUGUCAACGUUUUAGGUUAUUAAUGAUAUACCAGACUAUUAUUGGACUUAGAAUGAUAAAAUAAAAGUGCCAACCCUAGGUCAUAGACAGCCCUGUGUUAGAAGUUGCUUUUUAAUAAUUCGUGAGCAUCUGUUUAUCAAACAGCUAAGAGGGCAAAGUCCUCAUUUACGAAUUUAUUAUUACAAUAGAGAAAAAUAAGUUUAUCUCUUUUAAAAAUUGAGAAUUCAAGGCUGAUAAAGGAGGAUUUGAAUGUUUUAUACCUCACGGCGAUGCUCCUGUCACAAUAAAUAAUUUUCAGCUAAGAGGAUUUUAGAAGAGUUUGUACUUAUUCACUUGAAAGGGAAACUUCUUAUUGGUAUACCGGUAUUCUAAAUAGUAUAUGAGUUCGUCAGUCGGCAAAGUGGUAACUAGCCAUGACCGAAGCAUACUGCUAUAAGGCGCUAAGUAGAUACAAACUCCUGAAAUAACAUUAACUGCAAAUCGACCCAAAGACAUCAUCAUCAUUAUCUGCCCCCCUAGCCAAGUGGCAUGUCGAUUCUCUUUCUAUGAUCGCUAACGUUUCGAAAACUAGAAAAAUGUAUGGGAAUGACAGAUCUUGAUCAUGUGACCUGUCGAUAGCAAAUGACAUUUUCGAAGCGUUAGCGAUCGUAGAAAGACAAUCGACGUGCCACUUAGCUAGGGGAGGCUGGACCAUGCAAUUAACUAUAGCAGUCCUUACAAAUAACCUACAGUCCCUACAAAUAGCCUAUAGUCCCUACAAAUAACAUAAAGCAGCGUAUAUGGACUGCUAUCUGUAAGGACUUUUAUUAUAAAAGCUGCUCUCCGCGGUACUGUAUCGUCAGACCACCUACACUUUCAGAUGAGGGGUCGACUAAUGCACUUUCAGUUAGGGGGUUGACUAGCGUACAUCCAGGUGCCGGGUCGCCAUAUUAACACGUCGGGUCUUUCGAAAAGCUCAAAUAGAACUUAGCACAUUUAAAUGUUGCAACACGCGGUACAAUAGUAGCAAAAUGCCUCAUCAAAUUUCAUUAGCCGUAUAAUUUAAGAAAAUCGUUAUAAUUUGGGUUCAAGUAAUUUUUGCGACGCAACAGACACUCAAUUUAAAACUUUAACACUAUGGGAAUAAAGUGAAUUAUUGUCUGCGUGAGUGUGAUAAGAAAUUACUGGGUAGCGUAUACGCGAUUUAGUAAGGUAAAUGUCGCUUACGUCAUUGUUUAGAGCGAGAUGCGGGGUUCAUUAGAUAUGUUACGAAAUAACGGGUGAACGAUUUCAGUAUCGUGUGUGAUUAUUACAAUCAUUUAUUUAACUAGACUUUAACUAAUAUGUAUGGGUAGCAGUAGCGAAGGCUGAAAUUUUGUAGUAGGUAACCCGUUCAUAUGUGUUUUUACGGCCAGUUUCUUCAUCGCAAGUAACAGUCAAAGUAACGUCAUAAAUCAAAAGUGACGGUCUUAUUCACUGAAAAAUAACGCCUUCUUUACUACUUACUACUUUUACUUUAGCUUUAGCUUUACAUGAAGAACCUGGCUGUUAGUCUGAAAGACCAAGCGAGAUUCAUUGAAGUCUACGUUCUUAUAGAUAGUAAUAAUAUGUAUUGUAAUAAGUUGCGCUGUAGAAUGCUGUUGGAAUAUUAAAUACCUAUUUCGAGCGUGUAAAAUACAUUACAAUAAUGAAUAUAUGGAUUUUUAAAAGGUAACCCGAUAGGAAUUGUGUUGUUAGGACCCGCUCUUGAUGAUUAGAGGUUCCUCAUAAUAUAAAAGCUGAAAGUUUGUCAGCUAAUGUUACCAUAAGUAGGAAGGUACAUAUUUUUAGAUUAUAAGCUAUAUAUUAUCUCCGUAUUCCUACGGGAACGGGAACCACGCGGAUGAAAUCGUGUGGCGUCAGCUAGUAUUAUAAAAAGUUAGUCAAAUAAAAAUCUUCCGAACCAGUGGUAAAAUCUUUACAAAUAGUCAACUGACGUAUAAAUAGUGCUUGUAAACUGAGCCUACUUGAAAUGAAUUUUGCAUUAUAAAUAUUGUUUUUGACGGCCUCCGUGGCGCAGUGGUAUGCGCGGUGGAUUUACAAGACGGAGGCCCUGGGUUCGAUUCCCGGCUGGGCAGAUUGAGAUUUCCUGAGAUGUCCAGGUCUGGCUGGUGAGAGGAACCGAAAGGGGUGUGGAUUUUCAUCCUCCUCCUAACAAGUUAGCCCGCUUCCAUCUUAGACUGCAUCAUCACUUACCAUCAGGUGAGAUUGUAGUCAAGGGCUAACUUGUAAAGAAUAAAAAAAAAAAUUUAAUUUUUAUUUUUCUCCAUCAUCGAAAAAAAAAGUAAGAAAGAAUAGCAGAAUGUUCGUUGCACUCGACUCGGGCGAUACAUAAACAAUGUAAUUUAUAGCCGGCUUAUAUUUUAUAGUACGCUUUCGAACAACGUCGUGGUCGCCCGGGGCAAGCCACAGAGUAAGUACUAACUUGUAGACACGCAACGCAUAUUUUUAUCUAUUGUUGGAACAUUUCUCAUGCGUUGUUAUUCGAAUUAACGGAUCCUGAGGUCCGAGGGAGUUGUAAAUAUUGGAAGUGACGUGAAAUAUGCAUGUUUAACUUAAUCUUAUCUUCGUUUUUGGUUUGACUGAUGAUAAAAGAGCUAUUGUUGAGAUAAGUUGUCACUAAGUAAAGCUUAUUUCAUAUUCAAAACCUUCUUACUCGUAGCUGUCUUAAGGUUUCGAAUCCUACUAAUAUUAUAAGCGCGAAAGUUUGUAUGGAUGUUCGUUUGGAUGCUUGUUACUCUUUAACGCCGCAACUACUUAACCUAUUUGUCUGAAAUUUGUCUGUUUGGAAUUGAAAUACCUAAAUUUUCGUCUGGAUUAACACAUAGGCUACUUUUCAUCCCAAAAAAAACUAUGGUUCCCGCGGGAUUUGUGAAAAACUGAUUUGGGCUGUUAGUAAAUGAUAAUUUAAGAUUACUUAAGGAAUAAGAUCAUUUUUUUGUCCGUUUUUCUGUCUGUGAGUCUGCCUGGCUAUCAAGAUAUUAAUGAUGAGUGCAAAGUUCAACUGCAGGUCAUACUUUUAAGGUUCCGUUUUUUUUCUAAUAAGUCACGGGACUCUAGAAAUGGGUCGACAUUAAAAAUCUCGUCGUUUUAUGUUAAGAGGAGGAUAAAAAUCCACACCCCUUCCGGUUUCUACACGGCAUCGUACCGGAACGCUAAUAGGGAUGAUGACAGUUUUUUAAAUUGUAUAUAAAUUAAGAGUAUACUAAUAGUAAAGCAAUUUUGUAAAAGGAACAGGGUAUCUGCGAUCAUUACUUUCGGAGCUACAGGGAUUUAAAGAGUCAGAUUUCCGGCGCUGCCGCGGAUCCCUGAAAAACGCCCCAUACAAAAUGGCUCGAAAUAAUGACGUCAUAGGCAAUGUAAUGAUCGUUAGAUUUGUAUGCGCGUUCAAACAAAAUUACCUAUAUCUUUGUUAUUUGUGCGUUUAUGCUUAUAGUUCAUGUAUUAAAAAAUGUCACAUUUAAUGUAAGGAAGCUAAAACUGUAUAAAUUUUCAUCUAAUUACGAUAAAAUAUUUUUAAUAGUUUUUGAAAUUUUAUAAUCUCAUUUAUUUUGCAAAUAUCCAGACAAUCUUUGCUUUUUAUGUAUAAAUUAGUUAACAUUGACCCUAUUUACCCGAAUGUAUCAUAAAAAUCAAUAUAUUCAAACCUAGUCAUCAUCCCCAUUAUUUGGUCUCUGGUAACUAGCCACGGCCAAAGCCUCCCAUCAGCCAGACCUGGACCAAUUAAGUCAGCUAGUAUUAUAAAAAAGUUAGUUAAAUAAAAAUAAAAACCUUCCGAACCGGUGGUAGAAUCUUUACAAAAAGUGCUUUUAAACUGAGCCUACUUGAAAUGAAUUUUGAAUUUUUAGAAUUUUUUGAAUUAUAAAUAUUGUUUUUACUAUUUUUUAUAUUUUUAUUUUUCUCCAUUGUCAAAAAAAAAAUGGGCUGAAAAUAAUGAUGAUACCUAAUAAUUUUAAACUUAUUUCGUGGUUGUUCAUUGUGAAUAUAAUUUAAACGGGUACAUACCACGCUAAAUAGACGAGAUUUCGAAAUAUCGACAUUAGAAAUCUCGUCGUACCCGUCAGGUAUGUACCCGUUUCAAUAAUAUUCGAUGAUACCCUUAUCAAUCCUAUUUAAUUUUAAUUAAAUAAGUAAUAAGCUACCAAGUACAUUGUUACACUCUCUAUGCUCAUUGUUCAUUCCGGUCAAUCGAGGUCGAAAGGCCGGCCGAUUUGCAUUACGUUUUCGGGUUAUCUGAACAAGCAGUCUCUGAUUGUGUUGCAAAAUAGUUUACCGCUAAAAUAUGUGGGAGAAACUCGCGACCUUUAGCUAAGGGACUGGACUCUGACGAAGUAAUUAGGACAUCGAAGUCCAAUGUUAAACGAGAUUGCCUUAGGCUUCGCCAUGUGAAAUUCUAGAUUAUCUAGGGAUAUAACUGAUUUUACGAACCAGGGGCCUAAUUGUCUAACGGAGUUCAUUGAUCGUAAAGUUCAUACGAUCGGCUACGAUCAACGAUCAAUCGUAACUUUACAUUGGUAUUGUCUAAUUUAGUUCAUUAUAUGAAGACCGGAUGGUGAACGAUGAACUGAAAUCAUUCAUGAAGAUUGCGUAUUGUUUAUGCAAAACGAUAGUGAAACUAUCGUUAAUAAUAUUAUCAAAUUUAAGUUAAACUCCAUAAUAAUGCAUAUAUUUUAACAAAGUUUUAUGUCUUUUGUUUAAAACAUUAAAGAAGCAUUAAAUUUCACGAAAAAUAUCUACUAUUGAAGAAAAUAGCGUGAGAAAAUGGUACAUGCAACUCAAGUAACAAAACGCAAUUAACGAAUUUAACCAAGGGCUAUUUGGACUAUUUGGUAAUCUCCCUGUUGUCUGUGUAGGCUAGUGUCAAAAUAACGGGGUAUCCUAUUAGUCUGUGGUGAAACAUAGCAUAUUAAUAACCUGUGGAUUGGAAAUUUUAAUUUAACAAAACAAAACAAAAUUUUUAUUUUUCAGGUUUUAAAGAGAAUUUAGAAAUUGAGCAAAGUUUUACUAAAUUAUAGUGAUCUUAGGAGCAAAGUUUACUUCGUUUGUGUUAUUGUUAAUCAAAAAUAUAAAAGUAAACAAAAAAGAAAACUACCUCUAUCUAAUUUUGUCGAUGUCCAUUUCUUAAGAAGUUUCUCAUUAAAACAACGCUUAACUCAGGCAAGGCAGGGCUAAGGUGGUUAGCGUAACUACAAGUGGUUAACUUACAGUUAGCCAACUGAAGAACAAUCAACAAUGCCCGAUUAAUAAGUGAUCGCGCUGCUUGUCUACUACAUGUCCCUGCACUAGUUAUAGCAGUAAUUUCUUUAUUGGGAAGUAUUUAGCACAUCCGGGCUGCGCAAAAGGAGAGGACUAAAUUGAUUAUUAUGAACAGACCAUUAUGAUGAACCACUGAUAUUGACUCAGGGACAUGAAGAUGAGUGCUUUGACAACAAGACUGACUAGCUGAGCUAGCUUAAGAAUUAUGUGGUGUGUGUGUGUGUCUAAUUCCAGGAGCUCUCUAUGUCAGCCAUCCAUCUAUAUUCUUACUCAUUUUUGUUAAUUAUAAAAUAAAUUUGAUUAUUUAGUAUGUAACUUCAUUGUACCUAUCCUGCUAGCUGUUAGAAAGAUAGCAUCUGCAAUAAUUUAUUUACGGUAAAACAUAUUUAUAAAUAAACAUGCUUUAACAUUUAAGUAUGGCCAAUAUGUUGUCAAGUACAGUGGGCAGGGCUGAAUCCAUGAUCCCUCAGUGUCUAGUCUGGCCCCUUUAUGGAGUAGCUAGUUAGGCUUUAGCAGAUUUAUAUUCUAAUUUGGUAAAACUCGUUUUUCUGAUUUAAGAAAAUAUACUAAUCAUCAAAACAGUGUCUGCAAGUACUGUACAGGCCUACUGUUUGGAUGAGAAGUAUAUAUUUGAUUAUUUUUAAGCUUUGUGGUUUCAGGGUUUAAAAAAUGUCUAACUGAAAGUCUAUGUUUACUGUAUUUAUUAUUAUUAUAAUAAAUAAACUUAAAAAAUC